rnacentral:tRNA from 1 species
GGGCUGCUAGCUCAAUUGGUAGAGCAAGCGACUCUUAAUCGCUAGGUUGUCGGUUCAAGUCCGACGCAGCCCA